ACUGAAGAAACCCGCCGGCUGCUGGGGCAGGGCGGCGAAAGACAAGGAAAAUGAAGCGCAGAGACGUUAAAUAACUCUCUCAAGGUCAUGCAGCUGAGAAGAGAUGAGACUUGAACUCCAGUGCCAGCCCUGUUAAUCACUAUUCUGUACUGUCUUUCAGAUGGAAUGAUAGGGUAUGCAUAAAUGUUCAUGUGGGCUCUGGAGUAUACCAGGAACUGAAGUAAGGUACAUGGACGUCUUGAAUAUUGUAACUGAGAUGGGCAAGCCUACACCUUUGCAAAUAAAGGAGGAUUGGGAAAGAUUAAGGUGAGCUUUCUCGCAAACAGAUGGGUCAUGGGAAUAAGGAAUUCUGAAUGCAUGAACAGUGAUGCUGAAAAGCAGGGGGUCUUCAAACUAUACUCAAGGGCCAAAUCAUUGCCUCUUUUUAUAAGUGAAGUUUUAUUAGACUACUGCUCCACCCAUUCAUUUAAAUGUGGUCUAUGGCUGCUUUAGGACUUAAAAUGCCAGAAUACUUGUGACAGAAACCUUCUGGCCCUCAAAGCCUAGAAUAUACACUAUCUGGCUCUUUAAAGAAGUUUGCCAACACCUGCUCCAUUGUAAGGAGGAUAUUAGUCGGGUUCUAACAGAAUUGCUUGUUGAACUAGGGUUUAAAACACAUGGUAGAGACUCCACUGCCAUAACCAGAGAGAAGACUGCCAAGAAUUAGGCUAACUUGUUCUCAGGCAAAAAGGCU
rnacentral:lncRNA from 1 species